rnacentral:rRNA from 1 species
CAGAGACCUCAAGCGUUAUCCGGAAUCAUUGGGCGUAAAGCGUGCCGAUAGGUGGUUUAUAUAGUUUUGGGUAAAAGCCAGAAGCUCAACUUCUGCGUUUGCUCAAAAUACUUAUAGACUUGAGGGGCAAAGAGGUGCUUGGAAUGAAUGGUGUAGUAGUGAAAUGCGUUGAUAUCAUUCGGAACACCGAAAGCGAAGGCAGAGCACUGGGUGCCACCUGACACUGCUAGGACGAAAGCGUGGGGAGCGAAUGGGAUUAGAUACCCCAGUAGUCCACGCUGUAAACGAUGAGUGCUAGGCACGCGCGAGUAUCGACCCUCGUGCGAGCCGUAGCUAACGCGUUAAGCACUCCGCCUGGGGAGUACGGUCGCAAGACUA